UACGUAGGGUGCAAGCGUUGUCCGGAAUUAUUGGGCGUAAAGAGCUCGUAGGCGGUUUGUCACGUCGGAUGUGAAACCCCGGGGCUCAACCCCGGGCCUGCAUUCGAUACGGGCAGACUAGAGUUCGGCAGGGGAGACUGGAAUUCCUGGUGUAGCGGUGAAAUGCGCAGAUAUCAGGAGGAACACCGGUGGCGAAGGCGGGUCUCUGGGCCAACACUGACGCUCAUGCACGAAAGCGUGGGGAGCAAACAGG
rnacentral:rRNA from 1 species